GAUUUCUGGCUUGUCGUCCUAGCCCGUCUGCUUAGGUGGAUGAGUGCUGGUACGAUUUGCCAUCCUUCCAGAGAGCCGUGAGUACCAUUAACUUGGCCGCUCGCGUGCGAUCUGGAUCAUUUACUUUGAAAAAAUUAGAGUGUUUAAAGCAGGCUUACGCCUUGAAUACAUUAGCAUGGAAUAAUAACAUAGGACUUCGGUUCUAUUUUGUUGGUUUCUAGGACCUUAGUAAUGAUUGAUAGGGAUAGUUGGGGGUGCUAGUAUUCAGCGGCCAGAGGUGAAAUUCUUGGAUUCGCUGAAGACUAACUACUGCGAAAGCAUU
rnacentral:rRNA from 2 species